rnacentral:lncRNA from 1 species
CUUCCAACACCACUGCUUUUAGGUACCACCCAUCCUCUUGCAAAUCCCCUCCUCUUCAAUACCAAACCCCCAACGACGCUUCUCCUUCCGAAUUGGUUGCUCGGGUGGAAGUGGGGUAGCCCCAAUAACCCCAUAAUUUAUGGUAAAGCUUGGCUUGAACAGCAGGGUUCUUGACCAGGUUCGCCAUGAUACACGAGCAAAGCCGUGGAAGUUGUGUCGGUCCCGCAUUCAGAAACUCGUUGCAUAGGGUCACCAUCUCCCCUCCUCAGCUUUCUCUUCUCAUCUGGAAGCUCCAAAUACACCCACCAAGGUGUCCACGUAUGCCACCACAAUUUCGAAUUUUUCUUGACUUGUGGGAUCAGGAUAUCUGUUCCCCAUGCUGCUGCGUUUCCUUUGUUUGACGAGUUCCAUUCGGGAUCUGAGAGAGGGAUCAACACUUUUAUCUUGAUUAUGGCGCAGCUCAAGUAACUCCUUCAGCGGUUUCGGAACACAAUUCUUACCUAGGCUGGGCCAAAAAAUUGAGGAUUUUUUUUUUUUUUUGAAGGGGUGAAACUCAGCAGCAUUUGGCUGUGAAACCGUCUCGUUUCUCUGAUUGCUUCUCUUGCAGCCGAAUCCCCAAAACCACUGAGCACAGCAAGAGAACAUAGCGUACUGGAAGUGAUCCACAAACCCUCACCCCUUCGCCUACUCCUACUGUGCGCUUGUAGGAGUCGACACGAUAGGCGAUGAGUGAAGGAUGCCCGCACCCAAGCCGUCGGCGCCUGAAGUACGAUUUGACACGAGAGGGGUGGAGGGAUUCAGAGGUGAGGUUGAGAAAGAAGAUCCGAAGAUGCGCCAGGUGGGGGCCGUAUGUGGCGGAACUGAUGUUGUGUGAUUGCUGUUCAAACACCUCGCCGGCGGGCAGUGCCUUGGGCGGUCAGAGAAUAAAGCACGUUGUGGACCGAGGGCUUGGUGGGCUACCUUGGGCUUGGCCACGAAAUAUAGAGGACGAGACCUAUGCGAAGAGUGAUGAUGGGGCCAGUACUUGUCCCGUAUAAAUUCAGAGAGGACGGGUUCCAGCUCAGCCGAGAAAGACUGCGCAGCUCCAUAGGAAAGGUUUCCGGAUCACCGGAAACGGUUAUGGGUCCCGGGGGCAGCUUCUGCCUUCUUCCUCCCGAGAUGAAGAAUGUCAGUCCGAUUAGGAGACUUCACAGAGCCGGUCACACAGGGAAAUCAGGAUGAUGAACCCAAGUACUCCAUCUCUCUCUUCUCUCUUCUCUGCCUUUGCGUGCGGGUUUCCAAUUUGUGCUUGUGCACAAUUGUUGUAUUGUUUGGAAUCUUUGGAUAAGGUAUGAUCGCAUGAGGCUUAUUUCAAAGAGUAAUGUUAUAACGGGCUCGAGUUCCGUGGUAUUAUCUGGGUUAGGUUUGCCUACGUGGCGCACAAUUCAUUCAUUGAGGAUGAUCACCCCACUUAAAAAAAAAAAAUAAAAAUAGUGGGGUCCACCAUCUAAAAGGGUGGAUGUGCAGCGCACCAGUAGUCGAGCCUGUUAUAACAUUACUCUAUUUCAAAUUAGGCAAAUUUCACUUAUGUCCCCGUGUAGUAUAGCUCAUGUGCUAAUUACUCUCUUCAGUUUCUUUAUCAUAUACACAUUAAUCCCUUGUGAUUAAGUUCACCGUCCAAGCUUUCCAUCCAAAACUAACAGAAUAGGUGUAACUCUGUGGUGUGGUUUUAGCCGCAUCAAAUUAGAAAGAGAAGAUGAGAGUAUCCAGGUAGAAUUUACAACUUCUCUAAGAGCAGUUACAGCGGAGGAGGGGAGAAGUUGGAAAGGGGCACAAUGUGGUAGAUUAGCUGACACAUGAUCCAAAACUACGAGGUGGCAAUAGUGAAAUUUUCCUUUCACAAUUGAUGCCAUCCGAGAAUCACACCCAAUCCAGGGUAUGAGAACAAUAUUCAAAACAAAAAGAGAGAUUAUUCACAAAAAAUAAUUAGAGAUAACCAGUUCUUUGGAUGUUGACUCGAUACCCAUUGAAAUAAUAGAGUACCUUUUUCAAACAAAAGAGAGAUUAUUCAAAACAAUAAUAGAUUAUAUCCCAUGAAAAUAUAUUUUUUUGAUAAAAGACUUUGUUGGAACGAGUCUUUUGCGCGUAAUUUAAAGGUAUGCGUUUACUUAGUUUUUUUUAAAUUGAAAUUAUGGGGGGGGUUUCUCUUUAGUAUUACCUGAGUACAUAUUUAGGUUAUGCAAAGCAUAUUAGAGGGAGACAUCUAUCUUUUUCUUAUUCCUUAGAUUACUCGUUACACUUGUUGUUUUGAGGGUUGUAAAUAUCUAUGUUGAUCUUUGUGGAGCUAGAGUAUAGACUCUACGGUUUUUGGACUUCAUUCAUAUAAUAGAUGCAAGUGGUGUAUCGAUCAAGCGUGGCGGGUACAUAGAGGAUUGUUUAAUGAAGAGAAUUGCUGAUCAUAUUAGGUGGAGAAUGGCUAAAAGAUACAGGAGGAUGUGUAAAGAAAUCUACGUACUGUUAA